rnacentral:rRNA from 1 species
UCGCCUGUUUAUCAAAAACAUCGCCUCUUGCAAACAAAAGAUGUAUUAGAGGUCCCGCCUGCCCUGUGACCAUAGUGUUUAACGGCCGCGGUAUCCUGACCGUGCGAAGGUAGCGUAAUCACUUGUCUUUUAAAUGAAGACCUGUAUGAAUGGCAUAACGAGGGUUUAACUGUCUCCCCCCUCCAGUCAAUGAAAUUGAUCUGUCCGUGCAGAAGCGGACAUAAAUACAUAAGACGAGAAGACCCUAUGGAGCUUUAGGCUAAAGAACAGGCACGUAUAAAAGCUCGAACCCAAAUCCAAAAGAUAAAAUAAAGAGGCCUAUAAACCAAGUGCAAAAUGAUCGACAAUGCCUUCGGUUGGGGCGACCACGGGGGAAAGAAAAACCCCCGCACGGAACGGAGAAACCUCCCAAACCAAGAAGUACAUUUCUAAGUAACAGAAUAUCUGACCAAAAAUGACCCAGGACAAAAACCUUAAACCUGAUCAAUGAACCAAGUUACCCUAGGGAUAACAGCGCAAUCCCCUCCCAGAGUCCAUAUCGACGAGGGGGUUUACGACCUCGAUGUUGGAUCAGGACAUCCUAAUGGUGCAGCCGCUAUUAAGGGUUCGUUUGUUCAACGAUUAAUAGUCCUACGUGAUCUGAGUUCAGACCGG